UACGGGGGGGGCAAGCGUUGUUCGGAUUUACUGGGCGUAAAGGGCGCGUAGGCGGCAAUUCAAGUCAUCUGUGAAAUCUCCGGGCUUAACUCGGAACGGUCAGAUGAUACUGCUUUGCUAGAGUGCGGAAGGGGCAAUCGGAAUUCUCGGUGUAGCGGUGAAAUGCGUAGAUAUUGGGAGGAACACCAGUGGCGAAGGCGGCUCUCUGGACCGGUACUGACGCUAAAGCGCGAAAGCUAGGGGAGCAAACGGG
rnacentral:rRNA from 1 species